rnacentral:rRNA from 1 species
UACGUAGGGGGCAAGCGUUGUCCGGAUUUAUUGGGCGUAAAGAGCGUGUAGGCGGCCUGAAAGGUCAGCUGUGAAAACUCGAGGCUCAACCUCGAGACGUCGGUUGAAACCAUCUGGCUAGAGUCCGGAAGAGGAGUGUGGAAUUCCCGGUGUAGCGGUGAAAUUCGUAGAUAUUGGGAAGAACACCGGUGGCGAAGGCGGCGACCUGGUCCUUGACUGACGCUGAGGCGCGAAAGCGUGGGGAGCAAACAGG